AUGAUACCGCCCUCGGGGUCCCAGCUUAGUCUGGGAAGGGCCUUUCAUAAACAUCCCCAUUCGGGCUUUAAAUUCCAAUGAGCCAGAGCUCUGGUGCGAAGUGUCUGCAGACCCUUGGCUACUUCGGAAGCAAAAUGUCUGUCUCAACAGGACUGCUGGAGAUGCUUAAGUGACAUAAUGGAUGGAAACUUCCUGAAAAAGAGAAGCAAGGCAACCAAAGAGGAUAAAAGCCUCGGCGGCUGCCGUGGGAACCGCGCUGUCGGGACUCGGCUACCCCUCGCCGGGAGGCCGUGCGAAGCAGCUCCCCGGGCAGCUCCCGGUCGCCUGGCGGCCGAGGCCGUGCCCGUGCCUUUUCCCUGCGGGGCCGCGGAGAGCGGAAGGCGGCAUCCAUCGCCCGCAAGGCCUGAGCGUCCGCUGCCCACCGGCCCAGCACAGGCCAUUAAAGCCGGAUGCGAACUUGGAUUCUGUGUGGCUGAUUGCGGAGCUGUCUGGACGCCCCGAGGUCCCGGAUCGGCGACCCCCGGUGGACAGAGAACUAGCGUAGCCGGACGACGAGCUUUCGCACCAAGGCCACCGGUUGCAGAAGCUGGGAGUGAAAUAAAGGCGCGCGCGCCGGGUCCUGCGCUCCUCCCCUACCGAGAUAGGAAGAAGGCAGAGUGCCCCAGCGCGCCCGCAGGUUAGGCUUCCCCACAAAGCCUGAGCAGCUUGUUGUGUUCGGAUACCGGAGCGUCG
rnacentral:lncRNA from 1 species